CCAUUUUCUGAACGCUUGCCACUAAAAGCAGACACAAAGAGCAGUAAUACUAGGACCCUUCUCAGAAGGAUAGAAACUAGUAGCAUGUAAUUACAGUGCCCAGACCCCAAACUGUGUAGAGAUUACACAUCGCGCUCAUACUUUCUGCAUAAAAGAUAACAAAGAACAGAAUGGACCAGCAGCACCUCGUAGGGGAAAACAAGCACGUGUUCCGAUAUUCCAAGGCGUUGGUGCCGCAUCGCUGUGAACACAUAAACACCCAGGCCCUGCCGAAGGGGACGAGAGCGCGUGGAGGACUGUGCAAGCCUCCUAUCCACUCACAGAGAUCUGGACUGGCUGGACGGACGGCCACUGCUCCCAGAACAGUCCAGUAGCACCCCGGCCUGAACCAGCCUCUCGUGCUCUUUUCGCUCGCAAAAUCUUCCUGGGGAUUAUUUUCUAUUUUAAUUUGAAUUACUUUUUUAAAUCAAACUACGUAUGUGGUUAUUGCGCUAGAGUCACUCAAUAUAAAUAGUUUACACUUUGCCUUUGAUAUUAAUUUGUAUUAUUUUAUAUUUAUGUAUUGGGUGUUUUUUGUAGUGAAGCUCCUCUGCCGCCUCGAUAGAGGAACUAGAUGGUGACUUGAAAAAGCGGAGUUAGUUCAAAAUCUGCAAUCUUUCACCAAGUGUCCAUCCAAAUUAAGAAGAAAGAACGGAAGAAAGGAAGGCGUUUUUUCAUGGUAAGGAAAAUGUAGAAAACAGACUACUCAACCAAAUGAAAGUGUGUUCCAUAAAUUAAUUCAGUCUCCAUCUCAGUUUUUAUUUUGUUUCAAUUCUAUAAAUGCCGUCACAAAGUUGACAAUGAACGGGAGACUGGCAAGACGGAUCUUUUUCUCUUCUCAAAGUAACAGAUUAAGUCUCUUAAUCUCAGUUUUUAAAUAUUUUCUUCCAGGUUUACGCAAUAUUUAAAUAACGGUAUGAUUUAUUUUGCCGAUGAAUAAUUUAGUGAUCAUACAGUUCUUUCAUGUAGUUGUUUGGUAUGCAGUAAAAGCAUGAGCAUACGCUUCUUAGUAAUCCGGUCACAUUCUAGGCUUUAUUGGUGGUCAAUAUUAUAUUUGUUCUUCCGUCAAGUACUUUCGACAAGUUAUUGACUAUCUUGCUAGUUAUCUCUGUGAAAUUGCCUCUUCGAAGUCGGGCGCACGGCGCGAUGGAACAAGUGACCGCGGGUCAGUACGUUUUCACAAACAUUUGAUUCUUUUGUCGAUUUGAAAAUUGACGCAAAAUGUAGUCUACUACACUAGAAAGUAGAAAGCAUUUUCGUAGAAACUAUAUCUUAAUUUUCUGUUUAGUUACUUUAAUUUUGUGUAUUGCUUCCCCCCACCAACUCGCCCCCUCAACAAUUCUCUCAGUUAAUAGUCGAACAUACGGGUAGGUCUUUUUUUCGCACUUUGUAAGAUUUCACUCGUUACGACUCUGCUAUUAAUUAUAUUGUUCACGAUAGUUUGAUGACACACUUAACAAAUGAAAAGAAAAGCGAAGGUGUUUAUGUUUGGUGUCGUACAGCCAACUGCCUUCCUGUCGUUUCUAAAACAGUGGGACAAACCAACAGCAAUCAGGCGCGUAAAAAGGCCUAGAGAAACAUAGUUUGGUAUUUUGAUCAUACAACAAGACAAGACAGCCAUAUACGAGGGUUGACCGCAGGUUCACACACAUUCUUCACGAAAGCAUAUAGGUAUAGAAAAUAAGAAGCACGUAAAAUAGUCAAAUGCAAUGGAAAUCGCAUGUUCUACUAAAUACAAGUUUUCAUUAUGUUCUUUAUGUUGACGAACCUUUGCGUAAAUCACACCACAUUUAGGUCACAUGUUUCAGGUCAACUACCUGAAUUACAUUUAUGAAAAACACUAUGACGCCAUUUCUUCAAUUUGAACAAUAAGCCAGGUGUUAUAAGCACUGCUAAUUGUCAGUUACUUGUCAUGGCAUGUGGCAUGUGCUUGCCGACCGAUGUUUUUUGUGGUAACUUUUUCGAUUUUGCAGUGGUCGGCUACGGACAGCGCCUAAUGGUAUGAAUGGUGGUGUACUUUAGGCUCGUUAAUUGACAUUCUAAUCUAAUGCAUCUAGCUGUCAAGACUCUGUAUUUUGGGCUUCAUUUCGUUUACGUAAAAGUUACGUGAUCCCCCGCAUAUCAAGACUCGGCGCUUCCCCCCACAAACCCGCUUACCUGGGGUUGGUCCGGUUCCAGUAGACGGCAUAGCGAUCAGCCAUCACCUUGGAGCUGGGCUCCUGACUAAAUACACACAUCCAAAGGGCCAGGCAGACGAAAAUGACCAUUUCCACUUGCAGCAUCACUACAGUAAAGUUCGUCACGUACUCCUCUUCGAUGUCAAGCCGGGGAUGCUGCUCUUACAAGCCUGUGUGACACCUUAGCGCUCGCUGCGCCUUCUUUCACAUCGAAAGGCCAGCCGGUGCCUAUGAAUGUCAGCUUCAACUACCGAUAUCUGCAAAUACAAAGAAGCCCAAGAAGCUGUUCGCUUUGGGGGAUGACUUGAAUGAGUUCUUACUUAUAUGGGUGAAUGGCAAAACGGUGACAGGACAGUGCUGUCACCAAAAUCGAAAGUCACUCCGCUAUAGAUCUGAAUCCGUAAAUGUCCCAGAAUAUGUACCGUUUCGGUCAUGUAUCGCAAAUACACCGGUGAAGGUUCCAGCUUGUUUGCAAUUGUGUGAAAAUGUGUUGAGUCCAAACAGUGCAAACGCAAGUCGAGAAUCAGAAGCAAUAUCACAUCAUAGAGGAAUUGAAUCAGACGGUCCGUGGGCUUCUCCAAAAUGAUGUUUUUUCUGUAUGUUUGAUGGCUGCCACAGCACCAAAUGCUUGUAGAAACAAUCAACAGCUCAAGGUUGAAAGUCCUGGAAUUCAGAUAAACAUCGUAAGUGUCCGUGACUCCGGUAGCAAGUCCGUGUUGUCCGCUUACUCAGCCCCGUUCAAGUUCACUGCGCCACGAAGGAGCGUACAAAACAAUCGCGUAUCAUGUCCAAAUGUCCCUCUGUGAUCUCAGCGAGCGCGCAGAAACGGAGCUUGUAUCGUCUCUCAACGAUGUCUUGAAAGUGUCAAGGAUGAAGCAGGGAGGAGUCCCUCUCUAGGGCGAGACUGGAAAUGUUUUUUUUCUCACGAGCAGUAAGAUAUACUGUUGGCGAAGAAGUCCCGGAUUCGAAUGUCAACAUUGCUGCGCACCAUCCGUAUUAUUGGAGGAAUGAGAAAUCAGAUGAAGAUCAUGUGUUAUUUCAGUCUAGUUUCAGGUUCGGGGAAUUAAGGUGAGACCAAAAGCCUUACCAGGCACUCGCCGACUCCGUAACUGUGGGGUUCGCUGUCGGGCGAACGCAGAACGGUUUCAUUGG
ensembl:lncRNA